GUGGCUGUAGCUCAGUUGGCAGAGCUCAGGAUUGUUGUUCCGAUGGUAUGGGUUCGAGUUCCCAUCAGCCACC
rnacentral:tRNA from 1 species